AUGGUUGAUGAUGCACACCCCUUCUUUCCUCGGCUUAUCGACAAUGGUGAAAGAAAAUUCAAACUUAGCCAGUUGUGUCUGAAACCACCUU